rnacentral:rRNA from 1 species
CCUACGGGAGGCAGCAGUGGGGAAUAUUGGACAAUGGGCGAAAGCCUGAUCCAGCAAUGCCGCGUGAGUGAUGAAGGCCUUAGGGUUGUAAAGCUCUUUUACCAGGGAUGAUAAUGACAGUACCUGGAGAAUAAGCUCCGGCUAACUCCGUGCCAGCAGCCGCGGUAAUACGGAGGGAGCUAGCGUUGUUCGGAAUUACUGGGCGUAAAGCGUACGUAGGCGGUUAUUCAAGUCAGAGGUGAAAGCCCGGGGCUCAACCCCGGAACGGCCUUUGAAACUAGGUAGCUAGAGUCUUGGAGAGGUUAGUGGAAUUCCGAGUGUAGAGGUGAAAUUCGUAGAUAUUCGGAAGAACACCAGUGGCGAAGGCGACUAACUGGACAAGUACUGACGCUGAGGUACGAAAGCGUGGGGAGCAAACAGGAUUAGAUACCUGGUAGUCCACGCCGUAAACGAUGAUAACUAGCUGUUCGGGCACUUGGUGCCUGAGCGGCGCAGCUAACGCAUUAAGUUAUCCGCCUGGGGAGUACGGUCGCAAGAUUAAAACUCAAAGGAAUUAGACGG